CUCAAAAUAUGUUUCCGUUGAUAUUAGCAGAGGUUUCCCUUCCGCUCAAGCGCCCAAGGAAACUGGAUAUUUUGAAGAUUUUGUUGUCUUAACGGCAUUUGCAACAUAGGGAACCCAAAAAGACCAGUGGACCGAGGCCGCCGUUGAGAUAGUUCUGCUACCCCGCUAGGUGGGUAAUUUUUUGAACUAGGAUCAACAGAUUUUGUUGUAAGAUCUAAUGUAUAUCUUUUGAUGUUUUGGGGAUUGUAUAUAAACACAGUAUUAUGAUGAAAGUAGGUAACUAUGGUAUAGUGUAUUUUGUGGUUUGGUGAUUGUAAUUUAUACUUAUUGCUGCUUAGGUUUCCGCUGUGUAUGACAGGUGUGUUCCUGUUUCCCAUGGGUUCAAGUUGACUUUAUUAUAUGUUGAGUUAAUGGUAUCAGAAUAUUAAAUGUGAUUAAUUA